AUCAACGCUGGCGGCGUGCCUAACACAUGCAAGUCGAACGGGAAAACCGGGGGGCAACUCCGUGAGUAUAGUGGCGUACGGGUGAGUAACACGUGACUACCUACCUUUGAGUGGGGGGAUAACCCCGGGAAACCGGGGCUAAUACCGCAUAACAUCGCAAGAUCAAAGAAGCAAUUCGCUUCAGGAGGGGGUCGCGGCCGAUUAGUUAGUUGGCGGGGUAAUGGCCCACCAAGACGAUGACUCGGUAUCCGGCCUGAGAGGGCGCACGGACACACUGGAACUGAACACGGUCCAGACUCCUACGGGAGGCAGCAGUGGGGGAAUUUUGCCGCAAUGGGGGAAACCCUGACGCAGCAACGCCGCGUGGAGGAUGAAGUACUUCGGUACGUAAACUCCUUUCGAUCGUGGACGAUAUAUGACGGUACCGUAGAGAAGAAGCCCCGGCUAACUUCGUGCCAGCAGCCUGCGGUAGAUACGAGGGGGGCGAGCGUUGUUCGGAAUUAUUGGGCGUAAGGGUGCGUCAGGCGGUUUGGUAAGUCUGAUGUGAAAUCUAUGGGCUCAACUCAUAGUCUGCAUCGGAAACUGCCGGGCUUGAGUAUGGGAGAGGUGAGUGGAAUUCCUGGUGUAGUGGGCGGAAAUGCGCAGAUAUCAGGAGGAACACCGGUGGCGAAGGCGGAUCUCUGGCCCUACCUGACGCUCAUGGCGCGAAAGCUAGGGGAGCAACAGGAUUAGAUACCCUGGUAGUCCUACGCCGUAAACGUUGAGGUGCUAGGUGUGGGCGCUUUGACCCGCUCCAGUGCGCGUAGCUAACGCUUAAGCAUCCUAACCCCGCCGGGGAGUAACGGCCGCAAGGCUAAAACUCAAAGGAAUUGACGGGGCCCGCACAAGCGCGGAGCAUGUGGCUUAAUUCGACGCAACGCGAAGAACCUUACCAGGGCUUUGACAUGCGGGGUAAGCCUGCGAAGCAGGCGCCCUUUCGGGGGCCCCUGCCACCAGGUGCUGCUAUGGCAUGUCGUCAGCUCGUGCCGUGAGGUGUUGCCUUAAGUGUGCGCAACGAGCGCUAACCCCUGUCCCAUGUUGCCCAGCGAGUCAUGUCGGGGACUCAUGAGGAGACUGCCGGUGCCAAACCGGAGGAAGGUGGGGAUGACGUCAAGUCAUCAUGGCCCUUAUGUUCCUGGGCUGCACACAUGCUACAAUGCUUGCUACAGAGGGUAGCAAAUCCCGCAAGGGGAGCGAAUCCCAAAAAAGCAAGCGUCAGUUUCGGGAUCGGGGUUCUGCACUCGACCCCGUGAAGUCGGAGUCGCUAGUAAUCGCAGAUCAGCAACGCUGCGGUGAAUACGUUCCCGGGCCUUGUACACACCGCCCGUCACACCACGAAAGUGGGUAACACCCGAAGCCGGUGGCCCAACCCUUGUGGAAGGGAGCCGUCGAAGUGGGAUCCGCGAUUGGGGUG
rnacentral:rRNA from 1 species